UACGAAGGGGGCUAGCGUUGCUCGGAAUCACUGGGCGUAAAGCGCACGUAGGCGGAUCUUUAAGUCAGGGGUGAAAUCCUGGAGCUCAACUCCAGAACUGCCUUUGAUACUGGGGAUCUCGAGUCCGGAAGAGGUGAGUGGAACUCCGAGUGUAGAGGUGAAAUUCGUAGAUAUUCGCAAGAACACCAGUGGCGAAGGCGGCCGACUGGUCCGGUUCUGACGCUGAGGCGCGAAAGCGUGGGGAGCAAACAGG
rnacentral:rRNA from 1 species